AGAAUCAACGCUGGCGGCGUGCCUAACACAUGCAAGUCGAACGAGAAAGUGGAGCAAUCCAUGAGUAAAGUGGCGCACGGGUGAGUAACACGUGACUAACCUACCCUUGAGUGGGGGAUAACCUAGAGAAAUCUGGGCUAAUACCGCAUAAUACCUACGGGUCAAAGCAGCAAUGCGCUGAAAGAGGGGGUCGCGGCCGAUUAGCUAGUUGGCGGGUAAUGGCCACCAAGGCAGUGAUCGGA
rnacentral:rRNA from 1 species